GUCGGAAUGGCGCAGUGGUCUACCGCGGGAGAUUAGAAUUAGCCUGAAUUUGGCGUCGGCCGAUCCUAGCUACCCACCAUCUCCUCCUCUCUGAGGGCGCAGGUUCGAAUCCUGCUUCCGACG